rnacentral:misc_RNA from 1 species
AACGCACCUUGCACCAUAUGAGCAAUCGUAUGGUAUACCUGUUUGAGAAUCGUAAAAAUCUAUCCUACCGAUUAGGUAGGGACUUGUCGACUGAGUGCGUCUUGUGCGCAUCCAUCGAUUAAAAGUAGUAGGUCUAGUCAGGCUGGUGGCCUGGGACAUUGUGUGCUAGAGACGUCGCUUCGGCUGACUGUCUUCUCACAGUGCGUCCCUUGCUAUACAAGCUAGUCUGGUCUUGGCCUUUACAGUCAUCGUAAGGUGACAACCCCCCUUUUUGAUCUCAAAUCAGGUAAGGCUACCCGCUGAACUUAA